UACGUAGGGUGCGAGCGUUGCCCGGAUUUAUUGGGCGUAAAGAGCGUGUAGGCGGCCAGGUAGGUCUGCUGUGAAAACUCGAGGCUCAACCUCGAGACGUCGGCGGAAACCAUCUGGCUAGAGUCCGGAAGAGGAGAGUGGAAUUCCUGGUGUAGCGGUGAAAUGCGCAGAUAUCAGGAAGAACACCCGUGGCGAAGGCGGCUCUCUGGGACGGUACUGACGCUGAGACGCGAAAGCGUGGGGAGCGAACAGG
rnacentral:rRNA from 1 species